CAGCCGCCGCGGUAAAACGUAGGGUGCGAGCGUUAAUCGGAAUUACUGGGCGUAAAGCGGGCGCAGACGGCUACUUAAGCAGGAUGUGAAAUCCCCGGGCUCAACCUGGGAACUGCGUUCUGAACUGGGUGACUAGAGUGUGUCAGAGGGAGGUAGAAUUCCACGUGUAGCAGUGAAAUGCGUAGAGAUGUGGAGGAAUACCGAUGGCGAAGGCAGCCUCCUGGGAUAACACUGACGUUCAUGCCCGAAAGCGUGGGUAGCAAACAGGAUUAGAUACCCGAGUAGUCCCUGUCUCUUAUAC
rnacentral:rRNA from 1 species